AUUGCCUUCUCUCUCACCCUACUCUAAUAAGGCUUUAAUAUCUGGAGCUCAUAGGUGGGAGAUAAAGUAUACAUACUUACAAGACAUUUAUUGUAUAGUCAAACCAUGGAUCCAAAUAAAUAAAUCAAUAAGCCAAAUCAAGAUGUGCAUGUGUGGUGAAUGAAUGGUGUAUGGUGAUGAUGGUGAUAACAAUAGUGAAAGUCUAAUUCUACUUUUGCUCUUUUGCGGGGAUACAUACCUUUCUUGCACUUUGAAGCUUUUUGAGGAGAAUGAGAUGCUCUUCUUUUUCUUUCCUCUCAGGUGGGUAUCUUGUACCCCUAAAUCUACUGUCGGACACUUGUCCAUUUUUACCUCUCGUCUUAUUUUUUCUUUCUUUCGAGGUUCCGGGCACUUGCCCCUUUUUAUUUCCUCGUUUAUUUUUUUCUUUUCUUCUCUUUUAUUUUUUUCAGAGCACUCAUCUCUUGAGAUAAUAUAGCAAGUGGUAGUAGCAAGAUAACUUGAGCAUUUAUUUCACAAGGGAAAACAGAAAUAUUUUUGGCUAUUCUCUCCCGGAUUAGGAGUAGAAUAUUUUUGGGUGGUUCUAGAGAUGGACAUGGAUGGAUAUAUGUGGAUGGUACUUCCGGAGUAGAAGUAGCAUAUAUGAGUGAACGUGCAAGUGAAUCUUGAUUUAACCACAUGACAAGCUCCUAAGGGUCUACACAGCUUGACCACACUCAAUGCUCAUAAGCAGUAAAUAGUAAAUGUGUGGCUCAAAGUCUAGCAAGCAUGUAUAUAUGGCUGUGGUAGGAUUUUAAACUCUCAUCAUACAGGAACUCAUCAUGCAAUAUUUUAAAGAUUUUUUAAAGAUAAAAUUCUCUAGAAUUCUAGCAUCUCUAGGAACAGAUAAACAGCAGCUCAACCUUCCCAUAUCAUAUCCGUUAACAACUUAGAUUUCAGAUCAAGUUUUCAUCCCACAAGUUUAGAUCUAGAGCAAGCUUUAAAUUAUAAUAGUUAUGUCUAAACUUGAGAGAGAACUUCAAAUUUGCAAAUUAGGCAGAGCAUCUAUUCAUCAUAUCCAUGCUAGAGUUUUAUUAUUAAGAUUCAGAUUAGCAUAGACACUUUAUUUAUUUAUUUAUUAAAUACACUAAGCAAAAGAGAUAUAUAAGCACAAAAUCUUUAUUCGGUUUUUCAUAGUUUAUGUAUUUUAAUAUUCUAACAUAAUAUAAGUAUAAAGAUAGGUAGAAAUACUUAGCGAGAUAAAUGGGGGUGCUGUCCCCCAAGCUGAAUUUUGACGUAAUUUCUCUUGAUGUAGCUAGCAGGUGGCAGAGGUGUAUUUGAAAGUCAGCAGCAUUCUGACAGCGAUUAGAAUGUCCUCCGUCUGCUAGUCUUCUUGAUUCUUAAAUCCGGUGGAGCUCAAAUAGACAACAAAGCUUGUGGAACUGGUUAAGUGUUAGCAUAAAUAUCUAGCCUUUAUCAUGUUGAGACUCUUUAACAAUUAUUACUCUCUAUAUUUUUUUUAUAUUUUCAUUUUAUAAAGCAGAAAAGAAAUAUUUAUUUUGUUUUUAUGCCACCACAGUGAAUGUACUUAUGGGUUUCAUGCCACAAGCAUAGUCAUAUGGGGCUUACUAUUUUUAACAUUUUUAUUUUCUUUUCAAGAUAGCAUGACUAACUAAAAAGCUAUUUAAGAAAAGUAAAUAAUUUAAGGAAAAAUGCAGAAAGGAUAAAUAUGGAUAAUUACCGAUUUUACCUUUCGGCGAGGGUUCAAUGAUUUAAGUCUUCUAAACAAGACUUCUCACCGUGUUCAUUCUUCAGGUGCGUCAUUUGAUUCAGGUGUGGACCUUGACGUCUGUACCUCUUCGUUUGCCCAGCAGUUCAAAGUGCGGCGUUGGCAGUAUCCUGCUCAGUGUGUUUGUGCUCGUAGUGUACCUGCUCAUAGAGACAAGGCAGAGAUCAAGUGCAUGGGCCCUGUUGGUGGAAAACACCAACAGAACCAAAAGUGUAUUUGUUCUUCUCUAACCUUAAGCAUGGUGAGCAAGACAAAGUUGAUGAAUGAUAAGUUCAUGAGUGUAGCACUUAUAACAUUUGUCAGAUCAGAUCGCUUCAACCUUAUGGAAAGAUAAUCUAUCUAUGUAUAUGUCUUUUUCUUUAUAUCUCUCAAAGAUUGAAUGUGUAACAUUUUAGCUCAUAUGAUUAGGAGUGUGGGUUCAUGGAGGUAGUACUAGGAAUAAGGAUUAAAGGACUAAACAUGUUGAAUCAGUUGGGUUGGUUAAUCUAGAGUUGUAAAUCAUACAUGUUUAUCUCUUUUAUUUAUAUGAACGCCAGAACCAAGGAGAAGCUUAUAAAAGUGAUAGUCAAGUACUUUAAGAUGUUACCUUGCUUGAAGAGUGAUGGUACAGUAUCACCUUGUGGAAGCUUUCCUUUCUUAGCGGUUGUGCAUCGUGUUUGUGGCACCCUCCGUGGAUCAUCUCUCUAUGAUGAAUGAGCUAUGUCCUUCUUGUGCAAAUUGUUAAACUUCAUGUGUCACUCUCUUCGUCUCUGAUGUGAGUUUAUCUCAGGACUUCCCAAAUCGAUAUUGAAAGUUUUUCUGCAGGGGUUAGUCCGACAGAAAUAUACCAAUGUCUACACAAGCAGUUUUUAGUUCAAUAACCGAACUAGACUCCAUGUCUAAUCAGAUUAAGGAAGGUUGUUUAACCUAAGCACCAUGCUUAAUUUAAAUGCCAAUGGAAGUAUGGCGAGUACUUCCAAACCAACACUUGCUAGUAAAUAGACAAAGGUAGCAUGACAGCAUUUAUAGAGAUCUACUCAAGUGGAGAUGAACUAGUGUGAUUAGUAUUUAACAAAUUGAGCAUGUCUCAAAGGUAGGGACAACCAGCAUAGCAACAUGGCAAAGGAUGUUUUUAUGUAAAGUACUCCCCCAAGCUUGAAUUUUGCAAAAUUCAAGUUUGGAUGAAUUUAAUUCAAUGUUGUAUGAUGAUUGGUUGGACAUUCCUUGUGCUUGUCAUUCAUCCGAUCUUCUUGCUCCAAUCCUAGAAAGGUUAGUGACAAGAAUACCCGAAGGAAUAUUUUUUUUACAAUUAUCCUUAUAUGCUCAAUACACCAGGUAAUGUUGUAAAUAAUUAAAAGCUCAUGUUAUGAUCUGAUCAGUGCUUAUUUUAAGUCACUAAGCUUGUCCUUGGGAAACCAUCAAUUUAUAUCGGCGAAGUGGUUUCCCUUCCAACGCUGACCUAUAUCAAGAUCAACUCAACGAGAUCUGCAAUAUUUAUUAUAGACAUAUGCAUCGACAACUGCCCUUUUAAAGUUUUUAUAAAUAGAAAGGAAGAGGGGGUUGGAGAUCUCAAAUGUGGUGAUUUUGGAGAGACCAGUAGAUUGGUAAGAUGUUGCAUAUGAGCAUGGAGUAAACGAAGUGGCUAUGAAAUAAAUUCUAUGCUCAUUAAUGUUAUUUUCAUCUCCAAUCUGAAUGUUCAGAGUUUCUCCUAGAUUGGUCUCACCUAUGUCCUCUUCUGUAGUUGGAUGAAUCUCAUUUUCAAAGGGAGUCAAGAACUCACCAUUUGAAAUUGAGCCAAAGUCAGAAUCCAUUAAGGCUUCUUCCUUAUCCAUCCAUUCUACACAUUCUAGCCAUUUGGAUCUUGUGAUUAGGAAAGGGGAGCUGUUAGAAUUUUCUAUAUUGCUUAGCUCUCCUUCACUUGGUAUGUCAUCCUCGACUUCUUCAUAAAAGGAACCAGGACAUUCUCUAAGAGAACCAUUAUUUCAAGGAUUUGAAUUAUCCCUGCUUGAAGGUCUCUUAUGGAACCAGAAGUCUAAACCAUCAGUAUCUGAAAGAUUAAAGAUCGGAAUUCCUUCCUCCCUUAGAGAAUUUUGGGGUAUUGAUGGUUUAGGAUCGAUAGCUAAAGUUUGGAAUUGAAGUGGUUGUGAUCUAGCUAUCGAAACUUCUUCUUCUUGUCUAGGAACUGGUUCGUCUCUUUCUCAGGGAUAUAAAAGCUAGGAGACUUUCCGCUCAUUAAAUCAAUCAAAUUCCAAGCUUCACUAGCGGAUAGGUGGUGGAAAGAUCCUCCAGAGGCCGCAUGAAGGGUUUGCUUAUCUUCCCUACUAAGGCCCUCAAAAAAGUGAAUUAGAAGAACUUCUUCUGGAAUAGAAAGCUCUGGGCCAGUGAGAGUAAGGUUAAUAAAGCGGUCCCAUGAUUUGCCAAGAGAUUCUUCUUCCAGUUGUCUAAAAGAAAGAAUCUUACGCUGAAGUUCCGCCACUUUAGAGAUUGGAAAAUAUUUUAAAAGAAAACUAUUAUGUAACUCCUUCCAAUCUCCAUGAACACUCCUUACUUUGAGUUUGUACCAAUGUCUAGCUUUUUGUGUUAAAGAGAACGGAAAAAGCUUCCAUUUAAGGGUCUCAUCGGACAUGCCUUCUAUGCAAAGGAGGUCACAGACUCUAUAAAACUCUCUUAGGUGUGUGUAUGGGUUUUCCUCACCUUCUCCUGAGAAAGGUUGUUUUUGAACAAGUUCUAUGUAUUCGGGGUCUAUCUCAAAACUAGAUGCUAUGAUAGGCUUUGAAGAUUUUGGUGGUUCGAGAUGUGUGCCCGUAGGUCUAUGAAAUUCAUAGAUAGACAUGUUUGAAUUCAUGAUAGACCAGAAAUCAAGGAUUAGAUAAGAAGAAAGAAUAGCAGAGAUAAGGCAAAGGAUAAAAGGAAUUUUUUUUUAAUUUUUUUUAGAAAAUGAUUAAGCUAGUUCGUAGUCAACUCAGCAACCGUCUCCCCGGCAAUGGCGCCAAAAAUGCUUGUUGACACUUGCUAACACCACUUGAAUACUAGGUUGUCAUCCCCAGCAUGGCACUAGAGUGUACUAUGGUAUUUAUACGCACACAGAUAAUCCGCAACCGCACGGAUACCGUUGAAGCUUUUACCCGGUUAAAGGUUUUAUCGUAUCCACAGGGAAACGGGAGAACUGAUCUACGCUCUAACUUAACCAAGAUAAGUAAAUAGGUGUAAAUAGGAAAGAUGGUAGAAUCGAAUAAGAACAAUAUCAAAGGUAAGAUAACAGUGAGUGAUAAUAUGGGAAUAGAGAGUAGAGCAAUCUAGUAUAUGGGCGAUGGUAGCAGAAUAGAGAGGAUAACUAUAGUUUCUCUACUUCAAAGGGGUAUGUCUAUGUCUGGGACAAACCACGUGAUAAGAUUACACCACAAAGGAUGCUUAUCCAUAGGCCGAUAAACCCUACCCAUCCUGCUAACGAGAGGUGGACUACAGAGGACCAACGUAACUGUCACCUACGCGGCCUACCACACAAUCCAGCUAGACAGGGGAUAUCCACAAGUAAUCUAGAUCUAAGCACCUCGCUUACACCUAUACUACAACUCUAACCUAUAGCGUCCUAUAGAUUAGAAGUACUCAAAAGAGUUGUGAACCAGAACAUACAUGAUUAGUAAUUGCAUAAUGAAUUAGAAGUAGAUUACCAGAGUCAUCCCAUGAGCAAGCUUGAUUAGAGCUUGAUCAUGACGAAGUACAACCGGAGGAAGAACCGACAUGCCGGCCUCUCCUCUAAUCCUCCUUCGCUCUCCAUCUCGCUACUAUCUAGAUCUACUCUAGUUUAGAGAAGAGAGGAGAGCUCUCAUCUCUAAACCCUAGCUUUUGCUCUGUCUAUGAAUAAUGAAUAAUGAUCAAGGGGUGCCUCCUCCAGGGGCUAGGGGGUCUGGUUAUAUAGUCCCCUCAAGUGAACCUGGGCCGUCGAAUCAAACCGACAUUGAUUGAAUGGUUAUUCUUGAUCCUUUAGGUCGGUGGAGAUCUCCCGAGAGAAAGAGUCCUGAUUGGGCUCCAACAGAGGGCGGGCGCCCUGCCUCUGGCCCCUCUCGGCCUCCGCUUCCUUUCCGUGGCUUCUGGAGUCUUCUAGAUGUAAGAUAAUUGCGCGGCACGUUAAUAUCUCUAUGUAAUCCCGACGUAUGGGCUUUUCUUCCAUAUUUCCUGAUAACCCCUUGCAGAAAUAGAUAAACACCAAAACUCGUGGAAUUCUGUUAGAUAAAACCCUAAGUCUAGAUGUUGAUUUCAUUUGGAUCCUUUUCUUUGUUUAUUUGAUAAUUAAAUUUGAUACUUAAGGACCGUCAACACUCGGGCUGGCAGGAGAUGUAUGGAGCAGGAGGCUCCAGGGGACAGCAUUCACACGAGGCAGGAGGAUCUGGGCAACCACAUCAGGAGCACACCCUAGAUGAAGAAGACAUGCCACCUCCUAUUCGCCCUCAGGUCACCCUAGACUCCCUCAACACUCGCAUGGGUCGACUGGAGCUCCAGCAAUGAUAGAUCCAGGGUACGCUGAAUGCCCACAUCCAGACUUCCACCCAGUGGCAUCAGCAAACCCAGCAGAGCUUCGUGGACAUGGAGGAUGCAAACUGUCGAUGGCACGAGGAGCAGUUGGCAUUGCUACGGUCUAUUGGAUUUUUCCAGGGACCACAGCAAUAAGCUAGCUUGGGGGAGAACCCCCAUAGAGGUAACAUGUAUCUAAUUUUCUUGCACUUCAAUUUUAGUAUUUAAUUUUCAGCACUCUUUUCUUUAUAUAUAUAAAAAAAUCCUCUCUCAUAUGUGUUUUAUUAUGCUAGUUGCUCUUCUGCUGAAAUGAUGAAUAGUUGCUCUGUCUAUAAUUCUUUAGUGUCUAAGUUAUAACUUAGUCUUCAUCAAGAUUUAAGUUUGUUGGCUAAAAAUGUCCUAUUAUGAAAACUUGAAAUCUUGUGGGUUGCGAAUGCAUGAUCCUUUUCUAAGUUGUUGUGAGACAUGAUAUGGUACAAAUAGAUUUUGCUAUGACUUUGUCUUAAGAGAAACUUGACAUCCGGAGUUUUCUUUUCAAAAAUUUAAAACAAAGGGUUCCUCAAUGAUUAUGAAAUACCUACCAAGGCCAGAUGACUUGUUACUCAGUUCUUAAAACCUUUAGUCAUAUGCGGCUUGCGGAACUUUGAGUCGGGUCAAAUCUCUGAGAUCCUAGAGUGAGAUUAUGGUCAUGCACCCAUGAUUGAGAUUCACUUACACCCACCAAAUAAAGCCAACUCUUACACUGAGAAGUCACGCACAACAUGCACCCUUCCAUCCACCAAUUUUUUUUUGCCAACUCUUAUCCUGAGAGUUGUGCCUUAGUUUUCCACCAAAUAAAAAUGCAAACUCUCAUCUUGAGAUUUGCACAUCCCCGAAUUCACUCCUUACUUUUUGUCCUCAUGACAUCUCUUUAAAUUUCUCUGAUUCCAUUCGUCAAGACAUAUGGGCUAUAGUUGAAAAAAAAUAAAUAUCCAAAGGGAAAAGCCAAAAAGGCAUAGACAGGAAAGAAAGAAAAAAAAAUCAAAAGUCCCCGUCAUGAAAAAAAAUUUAUUAAGAGAUAGAGCCCAUAUGUUUUCGUCUUCCUCUCUCUCUUAUCCUCCAAAUAAAAGAGAGUCAUGAUGCAAAAGAGUGACCAAAAAUAUUUAGAAUUAGGAUUUUCACCAAUUCCUCAUACUCCACACACUUGCACAUCUCAAUCAAGGUGUAUGAUUUGUAUCUCCUCAUGGUCCGGGCUUUGACUCAGCAAUACAAGUGUCGUAAGUACGCCCACCUUUAUACCUGCCCAAAACUCCACUCUCAGCCUUAGUGGUAAGGUUUAAAGGCAAUCACAUAAUGCCUUUGGUAAGGAUUUCAUACACAUUGAGCGAUUGAGAGAAUCAUUCGAGGAACUCAUUUAUUUUGCAAAACUUAUAAAAAACAUCCAGAUUGAUAGUCUACCAAAAGAUGAAUGAUUGGUGAGUCUGUUACAACUGUUCUAUCUUGCAACCACCCAAGAAUUUGGAAAAGCUAAAAGCCCCAUGGGAAAUUAAGGUAAAGAGUGGAUAUUAUGCCAACUUAUCUAAAUUGCGAAUGAAUGCUUUGUUAUAGGCAUGACACUCCUGAAUUAUAUCGGCAUAGUAGCAACUCCUGAUCAACAACCAUACUUUAUUAUUUGCUCGGGACGAGCAAAGGUUAAGCUUGGGGGUCUUGUUGGCAGUCACUAUGUAGGAUUUUAUACUGCGAACUUAGACUAAAAAGAAGAGGAAUAAACAUAUUUAAAUCACAUAUGCGUUUGCUAUUGACAUAGUUCCACUUGUACCAUGGUAUUUUGUUUUGCAGGAUUUAUAAUGUGACAAGUGGAAGAAAACAAUAAAAUAAAGAAAGCGCAAAAGAUGAAUUCACAAGUACACAAUCAAAAAUAAAUAAGAAGCCCACCUUCAACAUCGAACUGGACCCAAUCGUAACCGAAGCAGCAAAGGAGGUCCAGCAGGGAGGCAGCCACGCGAAGGCGGUGGCCAGGUGGGGCCCACCAGGUUGCGGGCGCAACCUUGGUGGCGGCAAACCGGCCACGCCUUUCUCUGGCGGUUGCAUGCCGCCAUGCAAAGGAUAGUUUCACCUACUACCAUAUUUAGAUCCCCCGAACCGUCCUAGUUGGGCUAUAAAUAGAUGGCUCCCCCUCAUUUGUAAAACACACAUCAUUUGGAGUCUACAUUUCCUCACACCUCUCACUUGUAUCUUUAGUAUUAGACUAGUAGUAGAGUAAGUGUUGACGGUCCUUAAUGCUCAUAUUUAACCAUCAAUUAAUCAUGGAAAAGGAUCCAAAUGCAACCAACACCCAGACUUAGGGUUUUAUCUGACAGAAUUCCACGAGUUUUGGUGUUUGUCUAUUUCUGCAGAGGGUUAUCAGGAAAUACGGAAGAAAGGCCCACACGUCGGGAUUACAUAGAGAUAUUAACGUGCCGCGCAAUUUUCUAUCAUCUAGAAGACUCCAGAAGCCACAGGAACGAACGGGAGGCCGAGCGGGCCCGGAGGCAGGGCGCCCGCCCUACCCCCCUGGGCGCCCGCCCUCCUCUGCUGGCCAAUCAGCACGAGUCUCGGGGAUUAUGCCCCACCGACUCUAAGGAUCGAGGAAAAUCACACGAUGAAGGUCGGUUUGAUCGGAUGGUGGAGAAUAACGUGGAAAUUCCUUGGGAGCUACUCUUCCUAGAUUUCUUGGGGGCUACUCUUCCUAGAUUUCUUGGGGGCUACUCUUCCUGGACUAUAUAAGCAGACCCCCACCAGCCCCUGGAGGCAUACCUCUUCUACAGAAUCAAAGCUAGGGUUUCAAUUCUUCAUCCAAGUAGAGAGGAUCCCUCUAGUUCUUCUAGUUCUACCUCUAGUUCAUCUAGUUCUAGUUCUAGUUCAUCUAGAUCUAGUUCUAGUUCCUCUAGUUCUAGUUCUAGUUAGUUCUAGUUGUAAUCUAGAAAAUAGGGAGAGAGAACAGGAGAGUGGAGGAGGAGGAGCCGCAUCUGUUGGAUCUUCCUCAACAUUGUACUUUUGCAGCAACUGGUUCGUUCUUCAUCGUUCUCCAGGUUCUUCAAUUCAUAAUCCUGAGUUCUUUAAUUACUUUUAUUUACAUUCAAGUUAUUUAUUGGAUUCCCGCUUGCAUCAAGUGCUCUAAUCUUUGCAACAUUAGAGUAGUAAUUAAUAGAUUAGACAUGGUGUUUAGUCUUGCAAUUACCUGGAAUUGCACCCAAUCCUGCGGAUUGUUGUGGUAGCCUUAGGGUAGUGACAGCCCUAACGGUCGACGUAUUCCACCUCGUUCGGAUCGGUGUUUGUAGGACCGUAGUCAGACCUUCCUAGCCCCCUUCUCAUCUCUUUCUGUGGUUAGUGUUCUGAUGUCCCGAUAUAAAUAAUCUUGAAGUAAUUCUUGAUUCUUAGAUUAACUAGAGAACUCUCAGGAAACUUCCUCUCUUCCCACCAAAAAUAAUUAUAUAGUUAUCCUUGGGCGAUCUUGAAUCUUAAUUAGUACACUCACGUUCCCUGUGGAAAAUCGAUACUCUGGAAUACUCCCGGGUGAAAGCUACAUCGGUAUCCGUGCGCUUGCGGAUUUUUCUGUUUGCGUUUAAAAUACCCAACAAGCUUUCUGGCGCCGUUGCGAGUGAACGGUAGCUGUGCUAGUUUCGAACCAAGUCGUCUGUGUAUCCUUUUUCUUUUCCUUUUUUACCACACUCACCUUACCAUUUUCACCACACCACAUGGAUUUCACUCCUAUCUAUAAAUUCUUUGCUCCAAAGGGCGAGUUAUUAGAGCCACCACCAUCAUCACAUCCAAUUCUUACAGAUGGCUACGACCUCGGACCUGAUCUAAUAGCCAUGAUUCAGGAGCAACCCUUCUCUGGGCAAGUAGAUGAAGAUCCAUACACCCACCUUAGAUAAUUCGAGCAGUUAUGCUCUUGCCGAUCUAUUUCCGGCAUGACACAAGAAACCCUUAAAUGGAAAUUAUUUCCGUUCUCCCUUCUGGGAAGAGCAAAAAAGUGGUAUGCUCAUUCUGUAGGAGGCGUUAAUGGAAGUUGGGAUGAACUUCGGGGCAACUUUUGUCUCGCUUUCUUCCCACUUUUUCGAAUUGCUGACCUUAGAAUCGAAAUUCUUACAUUCAAACAAAGAGAGAAGGAAACUUUAGGAGCAGCUUGGGCUAGGUUCACAAGCCUUACCAAUUCCGGUCCAAACCUUUCCCUGCCUAACCAUGUACUGUACUACCACUUUUAUCGUGGUCUAAACAAGGAAGCUGCUCUUCACCUUGACAUUGCUUCAGGAGGCUCAUUCACACACAAACUCACAGAUGAGGGGAGAGCUAUCCUAGAAAGAAUCCUUGACAAUACCCCUUACAUAGGCAUUUAUGAUGAGUUUCCUGAAGAAGAAAAAGAAGUCGAGCCUGAUCCUAAACCAAAAGAUGAGGGACUUGCAACCGAGUUAGAAAUUCCACCUGACCCAUCCAUUAAUUUGGUUGUAGAGAAACCUCUUGAUAAAGGAAUGCAAAACCAACUAAGGGAUGAUGAACCACCACCUUUAGAGCAUCCCUUUGAAUUCGAGGAAGAUCUUUUUGAAGAUGAUGGAAACACCUCGAAUUUUCCUAUCCAAACACGACCUCUAGUAAGGACCACUCAAUCUGUUCUAAGAGUAGAAUCUGUUGACAUAGAACACAUCAAAAGCCUUUCGGCUAUUCUGAGUUAUGAAUGGCUAAUAGAAGCAGAGCUGUCCCCUGAGGUAGCUCGAAUCAUCACUCCUUCAACCAUUCUUCUGUGCCAAAUUAGAAGGUCCCCUAGGAAGGUCCACUACAGUCCAUAUGUUGGGAUAAAUGUUAUUUCCAAGGAGUUAGCUGACACUCUUUAUCCCAACGAGUCCAUAACCCCGUCUCAAAAACUUUUACAAAGUCCAUCUGGAUUAAUUCUAGAAAGCCAUGGGGUAUUAAGGGCAGUUUCUGUUAGAAUCAAGGACUCUGGAAUAUGUCUAGACUUUCACAUUUUUGACAUACCAGAGAUUCCUCUCUUGAUUGGCAGACCAUCAUGAAACUUCUACAAGAACAAACACAACAAGGUCAUUUAGACUUCAAGGUUGGGAAUUCCACUAUUGUUGUUCCUCUUGCUAGAUCAAUUAACACGAUAGUGGAACCCAAACUUGACCCAGAUCCUAUUGAGGAGAUCUUAAUGGUGACUCAAGAGGAGAUGACCCAACCAUUCUUUAAUCAUGAACACUUUGUUCAAGAAGAAGAAGAGUUGGUAGAACCCGUUGAGCUAGAUAAAAAUGAACAACCUUCACCUCCUUCAAUAGAAUUAAAACCUCUUCCUUCUGGCCUUAGAUAUGUCUUCUUGCACAAUAACCCAAAAACUCCAGUAAUUAUCAGUGACAAGCUUUCCGAUUAUGAAACACAACAACUUGUCACUGUUCUUGAAAGACAUAGAUCAGCAUUUGGCUACUCUCUCGAAGACCUCACGGGCAUUAGUCCCAUUCUCUGCACUCAUCGUAUCCCUAUUGAUCCUAAUUUUACACCUUCAAGGGAGCCACAACGGAGACUUAACAAUGCUAUGCGAGAGGUUGUUAAGAAAGAGGUCCUCAAACUCUAUCGUGCUGGGAUUAUUUAUCCUGUGCCACAUAGUGAGUGGGUUAGCCCUGUCCAAGUAGUGCCAAAGAAAGGAGGAAUGACGGUCGUUAGGAAUGAGAAGAAUGAACUCAUCCCUCAACGAAUUGUCACUGGGUGGCGUAUGUGUAUUGACUAUCGAAAACUCAAUAAGGCUACAAAGAAAGAUCAUUUUCCGUUACCCUUCAUUGAUGAAAUGUUGGAACGGCUUGCAAACCACUCAUUCUUUUGUUUCCUUGAUGGUUAUUCUGGAUAUCACCAAAUUCCAAUCCACCCAGAUGACCAAGAAAAGACUACCUUUACAUGCCCAUAUGGAACCUAUGCAUACCGAUGAAUGUCGUUCGGAUUAUGCAAUGCUCCAGCUUCUUUCCAACGGUGCAUGAUGUCUAUUUUCUCAGACAUGAUUGAGAAGAUCAUGGAGGUUUUCAUGGAUAAUUUUACCGUCUAUGGUAAAACCUUCGAUCAUUGUUUGGAGAAUUUAGAUAGAGUCUUGCAGCGAUGUGAAGAAAAACACUUAAUCCUGAUCUGGGAGAAAUGUCAUUUUAUGGUUCAGGAAGGAAUAGUGCUAGGACAUAAAGUGUCCGAACGUGGUAUAGAGGUGGACAAAGCAAAGAUUGAAGUUAUUAAAAAACUUCCACCUCCCACAAAUGUGAAAGGAAUCCGUAGCUUUUUGGGACAUGUAGGGUUCUAUAGACGCUUUAUCAAGAAUUUCUCUCAAAUUGCUAGACCCCUAACUAGUCUCCUAGCUAAGGAUGCACCUUUCAUCUUUAGUGAUGAGUGUCAUGAAUCUUUUCAAAUUCUUAAGAAAGCACUCAACUCAGCCCCGAUUAUCCAACCACCUGAUUGGAAUCUUCCUUUUGAGAUCAUGUGUGAUGCUAGCGAUUUUGCGGUUGGUGCCGUUUUAGGACAAACCAAGGAUAAAAUGCAUUAUGCCAUAUCCUACGCUAGCAAAACCUUGUCUGGACCACAGCUCAAUUACACUACAACUGAAAAAGAGCUUUUAGCUGUUGUCUUUGCUAUAGACAAGUUUAGAUCUUACUUAGUGGGGGCGAAGAUAAUCAUCUAUUCAGACCAUGCUGCUCUCAAGUACCUCCUCAAUAAGAAAGAUGCUAAGCCUCGUCUAAUUCGAUGGAUUCUUCUACUCCAGGACUUUGACAUAGAAAUCCGAGAUAGGAAGGGAGUAGAGAAUUCCGUAGCCGACCACUUGUCUAGGCUUCAAUAUAAGGAAACACAUGAUGAGCUUCCCAUAAAUGACUACCUAAGGGAUGACACCCUACUUAAGAUAACACAUGCAGAUCCAUGGUACGCAGACAUCGUAAACUUUAUAGUAAAAGGCUAUGUCCCACCUGGUGCAAACAAAAGGAAGUUGCUUCAUGAUAGUCGUUUCCACCUUUGGGAUGAGCCAUAUCUUUUCCGAGUCUGUGCUGAUGGAGUCUUGAGAAGGUGUGUUCCUAUGGCUGAGGCUACUCAAAUUAUGGAAAGAUGUCAUGCCUCGCCAUAUGGAGGACACUAUGGAGCAUUCCGGACACAUGCUAAAAUUUGGCAAAGUGGCUUUUUCUGGCCAACGAUGUAUGAAGAUACAAAGGACUUUGUUAGGAGAUGCCACCGAUGUCAAAAACAUGGGAAUAUCAACUCACGAAAUGAAAUGCCUCUCACAAAUAAUCUUCAAGUAGAACUUUUCGAUGUAUGGGGCAUUGAUUUCAUGGGACCAUUCCCUAUGUCUGGGAAUUGCGAGUAUAUCUUAGUAGCUGUGGACUAUGUAUCCAAAUGGGUAGAAGCCCUACCUUGUCGAUCAGCUGAUUCAAAACAUGCCAAGAGAAUGUUCCAUGAAGUAAUCUUUCCUCGCUUUGGUAUACCCCGGAUAGUUAUAAGCGAUGGAGGUUCCCACUUCAUCGACAAAAUCUUCCGGAAGUACCUAGCCGAUCAUGGAGUUCGACACAACGUCGCAACACCAUACCAUCCUCAGACUAGCGGUCAAGCCGAAACAUCUAACAAACAAAUCAAAAAUAUUUUACAAAAGACUGUAGAUGAGAUGGGUAAGGGGUGGAAGGACAAACUUUCUGAUGCACUUUGGGCAUAUAGAACUGCAUUCAAAACACCCAUAGGCAUGUCACCUUAUCAACUUGUAUAUGGAAAAACUUGUCACUUGCCUGUGGAAGUAGAGUUUAAGGCUCAUUGGGCACUCAAGAAAUGGAACAUGGAUCUCCACCUCGCUAGCAAGAAUCGUCUGAUGCAACAAUCUGAGCUAGAAGAAUGGAGAGAGAAAGCCUACCACAAUUCAAGGAUUUAUAAAGAGAGAACAAAACGAUGGCAUGAUAAGAGAAUCAAGCACAAGGAGUUUAAGCCUGGAGAUAAGGUUCUACUAUUCAAUUCAAGAGUUAAGCUCUUUGGGCAUGGUAAGCUACGAAGUAAGUGGGAUGGACCAUACAAGGUUAUUGACACUUCAACUCAUGGAGCCAUUACCAUCCAAGACGACAUAGGUAACACUUUUAAGGUAAAUGGUCAACGCUUGAAAAUCUAUCUCGAGCCACAAAACAACCUGGUAGAGGAACUUGAUGUGAUUGAGUUCAUAGAAUUCUCAUAUUAAGCUCUCAUAAGCUCUAGACAAUUACCUAACCCUUAACAUGCUCCACAAGUUUUGUUGUCUAUUUGGGUUGUGCAGGAUUUUGAGGCUUAAGAAGAGUGAGAUUGAACAUGUAGGCCACAAGAGUGAACGACUAUGUCAACAUCCACCUUGGGGGAGGCACCCCCACGUGUAUCUAGAUAAGUAUUACUUUUCUUUCUUGGUUUUAUUUACUAGUAUUCAUAAAUAAAUAAAAAUGCAUAACCAUGAAACCAAACAAAGUUUUUCUUUUGAGUAAUAUACAAUAGUUUUGUGUAAUUCUAAGUUUUAAAUAAAAAUAAAAAGGUUUGAUUCAAGUCUAGGUAAUUGACAAACAUGAUAUGAGAAGGUCUGAGCUACUAUUUAACUUGUUCCAAGUUUUGCUAGAGUUCUGGAGAUUUUAUCUUUUGAAAAUCUAAAAAUUCAUAAAAAAAAUAUAUGAGAUCAUAAUACCUAGAGUCUUAUAAGAUAUAAAUAUUAAAACUGUGGGCACUUGCUUUGUUCAAGCCAUUGUUAAUUCUUGUAGUUUUGGUUGAGAGAAUUAUCAUGCUCCCAAGAUCAAGAUCUUUUUGUUUUAAAAAUAUAAAAGAUUCACUCUUCCGAAGUAUUAUUGCGUUAGAGGAAUGGGACUAUGUAAAAAUUUGAUUCAAAAGAAAAAAAAGAGUGAGACGAGAGGUAAAAAUGGACAAGUGUCCGAAGUAGAAUUAGGGGUACAAAGAUACCCACCUGAGUGGAAAAAAUGGACAUGUGUCCGACAGUAGAAUUAGGGGUACUUGCUGCCCACUUGAAACAAAAAAAAGAAAGAGACUAAAAAAAGAGAAAAAAAAAUGAUAGCCCAUGGUUCCUCUAAUAAGCAAUAUGCCAGUAAGAGAUGACAAACUUUUCAAAAAGAUCAAAGGUCUUGAUCUAGGAGUAUGACAUUCGUCUCCCUUGCUCCAAGCAUUGACAUAGCAAAAUGCAAAGUAAGUAUGCUAAAAUUUUUAAAGCUCUACUUAUAUAUCUUUCGAGAAGAAGGCAAAUGCUUCAGUUUUAUUUUGGAAACUUACAAACAACUCCAGAACAAAGGUAAGACAGAAGAACUUGAGACAUAGUGCUUGACUUGAUCGUUCUGUUUUUCAAUCACUUAAGACCUUAGUGAUAAAUUAAAAACCCUGUAGUAAGAGGCAUAAAAGUAACCCGUGUUUUCUUGUUGAUUUUAGCUUUGCUCAGGGACGAGCAAAGGUUAAGCUUGGGGGAGCUUGUUGACGGUCCUUAAUGCUCAUAUUUAACCAUCAAUUAAUCAUGGAAAAGGAUCCAAAUGCAACCAACACCCCGACUUAGGGUUUUAUCUGACAGAAUUCCACGAGUUUUGGUGUUUGUCUAUUUCUGCAGGGGGUUAUGAGGAAAUACGGAAGAAAGGCCCACACGUCGGGAUUACAUAGAGAUAUUAACGUGCCGCGCAAUUUUCUAUCAUCUAGAAGACUCCAGAAGCCACGGGAACGAACGGGAGGCCGAGCGGGCCCGGAGGCAGGGCGCCCGCCCUACCCCCCUGGGCGCCCGCCCUCCUCUGCUGGCCAAUCAGCACGAGUCUCGGGGAUUAUGCCCCACCGACUCUAAGGAUCCAGGAAAAUCACACGAUGAAGGUCGGUUUGAUCGGAUGGUGGAGAAUAACGUGGAAAUUCCUUGGGAGCUACUCUUCCUAGAUUUCUUGGGGGCUACUCUUCCUAGAUUUCUUGGGGGCUACUCUUCCUGGACUAUAUAAGCAGACCCCCACCAGCCCCUGGAGCCAUACCUCUUCUACAGAAUCAAAGCUAGGGUUUCAAUUCUUCAUCCAAGUAGAGAGGAUCCCUCUAGUUCUUCUAGUUCUACCUCUAGUUCAUCUAGUUCUAGUUCUAGUUCAUCUAGAUCUAGUUCUAGUUCCUCUAGUUCUAGUUCUAGUUAGUUCUAGUUGUAAUCUAGAAAAUAGGGAGAGAGAAGAGGAGAGUGGAGGAGGAGGAGCCGGAUCUGUCGGAUCUUAAUCAACAUUGUACUUUUGCAGCAACUGGUUCGUUCUUCAUCGUUCUCCAGGUUCUUCAAUUCAUAAUCCUGAGUUCUUUAAUUACUUUUAUUUACAUUCAAGUUAUUUAUUGGAUUCCCGCUUGCAUCAAGUGCUCUAAUCUUUGCAACAUUAGAGUAAUAAUUAAUAGAUUAGACGUGGUGUUUAGUCUUGCAAUUACCUGGAAUUGCACCCAAUCCUGCGGAUUGUUGUGGUAGCCUUAGGGUAGUGACAGCCCUAACGGUCGACGUAUUCCACCUCGUUCGGAUCGGUGCUUGUAGGACCGUAGUCAGACCUUCCUAGCCCCCUUCUCAUCUCUUUCUGUGGUUAGUGUUCUGAUGUCCCGAUAUAAAUAAUCUUGAAGUAAUUCUUGAUUCUUAGAUCAACUAGAGAACUCUCAGGAAACUUCCUCUCUUCCCACCAAAAAUAAUUAUAUAGUUAUCCUUGGGCGAUCUUGAAUCUUAAUUAGUACACUCACGUUCCCUGUGGAAAAUCGAUACUCUGGAAUACUCCCGGGUGAAAGCUACAUCGGUAUCCGUGCGCUUGCGGAUUUUUCUGUUUGCGUUUAAAGUACCCAACAGUAAGGCAAGAGCUACCAAGGAGAGCAUGUCUCCUAGGAAGAAAGGAUCCUCUUGGUAUGAAUCAUAAUCAGUGUUCUUCCAUGAGCAAGUUCUUGUUAUCUUUAUAUAAUUGUGCUUAUGAACUAGAGUAUAGUUAUGUCUAUAUCAUGUUCAUAGUAUAUGAACUAGUUCUUAGUUCUUGUGCUAUGUUCUUGAUAUAUUCAUCCCUGUUCUUCAUCGUUCAUCUAACUUAUAUGAAUAGAAGUAGAAUUAGGGAUGAGAUGAUGGUUCACUGGGCCAUUCCGGUUGCUCUUAACCUAGCUUGUCAAUCUGAAGGGUUAGGGCCCGCAGGGGUUAAGAGUUAUUUCCAAAUACGUGAACAUGGUGUUCAGGUAUGCGGAGAUCAGUGGAUAUGCGGGUAUCCCAUGGGCAGAGGGGUAGGUGGCCGGGUAGUGACAGCCCUGUCAUCCUUCGUAUUCCCCCACGUUUGGAUAUUCGGUAGGAGUCAUGUAAAGUCUCUAUUUGCUGGCGGACCAGCUAUGGGGAUCUCCCUAUCAUCUCAACUCUGAUCCUAUCUCUAGACUUGCUAGUUAGAUGACUUACUAACAGUUCUUAGCAUAGUUAUAUACGAACCAUGCCUGCUCAGUAGUUAUAUUCUUUUAUUCUUUAUUUUAUCUUUUAUCCUUGAGGAUGACCCAGAUGUGUGUCCACUAUCUCCAAAUAUCAUAUCUUACCCCUGUUUACUCUAUGCCUACCAUGCAUUUUAAUAAGUAAUCAUGUUAUAACCAUGCUAGAUAUAAAUGCCUUCCUACAGGAAUUAUAAAUACGACACCCAUUUAUGGGUUGAAAUGCUACAAUGAUAGUUCUGUGCGCUUGCAGAGUUAUUCUUAUUUCGUACUGAGCUAUCGAUUGGCGUACCUAAGCACCUUUACUUAAGAUUGUAAUCCUUGUGCACUUACCCGGCGCCGGGCCACAACUUUGCAUAUCGUAAGUAAGGAUGGUUAGGAAGGCCAAUCUGGCAUUACUAAUCAUCAGUACCAGACUGCACUGCCUAGGCCCGCGCCGUAAAGAGCCUUGGGUUAUCAUUCUAAAGUGAUGGUGGUUACGAUAUGCCAAGAACGUUUCUAGUGUUAUCGUUAGGGAUGGACUCAAACUCUAUCUUUAGUGGUUUCGCUAAGAAACGCCAAUAGGAGGCGAGGACCAAGGAAGCGUUGCGCUGCCCUGACCAUCACCCCUUCAACAUGAGGAGGCACUAUGCUGCCACCAUGCGCUAUAGGUCUCUGCCAUGCCAUCCCUUUAACAACCUCUUGCGUAUAGUGACUCCUCGUGGCAGUGAUUCCAUAGGCCACCACUGCCUCGCUUCACCUCCGCCAACCUUCCACAGUGAUGCUCUAUGUUGCAGUCACCGUUGUUGGGUACUCUUAACAUCAUUACCAAAAGUAGACUAAGUUCUCUAAAUCUAGUAACGGUGCCAAAAAUGCCAAACCUAUCCCUCACACCACUUAAGCCAAGUUGUCAUCCCCAGCAUGAUAUAAGAGAUGCGGUAUUGAAAUAUGCAAUUGCUCUUCUAAAUAAAUAAUGAAUGGGAUCUGCAAGCGCACAGAUUAAUACCGAUGCAGCAUUUUAACCGAGAAGUAUUCCAGGUAUCGUUAUUUAUAUUUUUACCACUGGGAAGGGAUUAGCAAUCAUCACUAUUGAUUACAGAAUAGAAUAUGAGAUUGAGCAUCUAUCAUUGCAUGUAUAAUUGAGAACAUUAUAUCUAACUUCUCAUACAGGGAUAAGUGUCACAUAAAAGAUAUAUGAAAUAAUAAUAGUGACAAGGAUAACUAAUCUGAUCUAGCCACAUAAUAAAUAUGAUAAGCACCUCAAUUAGAUACUCUAGAAAGUCAUUAGCAUGGUAUUAGAACGAACUACAAGAAUAUUCCCUAAGUUAUUCUCAACUAUAUAGUCUAGCAUAUCAUAGUUAGUGCAAGCAUACUUAGCAAUCAUUGCGAGAUAAGACUACGCCCAUGCAUAGUGAUAUUAGUAAGGAAUAUGAGAAACAUAGCAAUCACUCCCCUGUAAUAAUGUUGCUCUGCCAGCCCAAUACACGAGAGGGGGACUAUAUAAUAAUCAAUGAAGCUGUCACUAUCACGAACGACCCCACGAUCUGGCAUAUUGGGUACAAUCGUAGAUAAAUACGGUAUAAGCACCACGCCUACAUAAUAUCUAUCAUUUACCCAUGGAUCCGAUGGAUAAACGCUAUACGAUCCUAAGCAUGUAUAUAGAUCCAAUCUAACUAAGCCAAGUACAUAACUAUGAUAAACUAAGAACAAUAUUAUCUUGAAUAUAAGCAAGUAGAGCAAAGUCAUAAGCAAUAUAUUGAAGUAGAACAAAGUCAUAUUCAUAAUAUUGAAGAACAAAGAUAAUUAGAAUGCAAUUAGAAGCACAAUUAGAGAAUUACCAAGAAUCCUCUUGAUAGAUCCGGAAACCAAUCGAAGAUUGACUCCUAGUUAUAAUCCUAUGUAGCUAUGCUAAUCUAGAUAUCUAAUUGAUGUGGUGGCUCUAAUCUUGAUCAGAGGCUUCUUCUCCCUUGAGGAAUAAUGAAUUAGGGUUGAGAGGCUCUCUCCUCCAGGGGCCAGGGGGUCUGGUUUUAUAGUCCCUUCAAGUGAAUAUGGGCCAUUGGAUCAAACCGACAUAGAUUGUAUGGUUUAGAUUCAUCCUUUAGGUCGGUGGAGAUCUCCCGCGAAGCAGAGUCCUGAUUGGACUCAAAGGCAGGGCGGGCGCCCUGACCAACUGGGCGGGCGCCCAGGGUCAGGCCCCGUUUCGCCUCCGCUUCGGUCUCGUGGCUUCUAGAGUCUUCUAGAUGUAAGAUAAUUGCGCGGCAGGUUAAUAUCUCUAUGUAAUCCCGACGUGUGGGCCUUUCUUCCGUAUUUCCUGAUAACCCUCUGCAGAAAUAGACAAACACCAAAACUCGUGGAAUUCUGUCAGAUAAAACCCUAAGUCUAGAUGUUGAUUUCAUUUGGAUCCUUUUCUUUAUUUAUUUGAUAAUUAAAUUUGAUACUUAAGGACCGUCAACAAACUCCCCCAAGCUUACCUCUUGCUCGUCCCUGAGCAAAGAUAGACUCAGCUAUGGAUCAUAAGUUAUUGCAAUAUAUUUAAAAAUUGACGGUAUACAUGCUUUUUAAAUAAGAUCUCAUCUCUAAGUUAGAGUAAACUGUCAAGACUUAAAACUUACUUACUUUACCUUCACCAUGGGACUUGUAACUGUCACUUCUAUCUUGAGUAGUUAAAAGAUAGAACAGUCUAGUCAAGUGCCAUGUCUCUUAUUCUUGAUCAGCUAUAGCUCUGGGGUUUUUGCAGAUUUUCAAAUAAAACUCAGAGAUUCCUUGUAUGACUCUCUCAGGUCUCUCUUUUGUGGUAUUUCUGGAUCCUUACCAAGGCAGUGCUGGUAUAUGCCUUCUCUCAAGAUAUGUAGUAUUUGUGGUAUAAGGCAUAGUGACAUUGCCUUCUCUCUCACCCUACUCUAAUAAGGCUUUAAUAUCUGGAGCUCAUAGGUGGGAAAUAAAGUAUACAUACUUACAAGACAUGUAUUGCAUAGUCAAACCAUGGAUCCAAAGAAACAAGCCAAUGAGUUUAAUCAAGAUGUGCAUGUGUGGCGAAUGAAUGAUGUAUGGUGAUGAUGGUGAUAACAAUGGUGAAAACAAUGGUGGUGGAAGUCUAAUUCUACUUUGCUCUUUGAGGGGAUACAUACCUUCCUUGCUUUUUUGAAACUUUAUGAGGAGAAUGAGAUGCUCUUCUUUUUCUUUUCUCUCAGGUGGGUAUCUUGCACCCCUAAUUCUACCGUCGGACACUUGUCCAUUUUUACCUCUCGUCUCACUUUCUCUUUUCUUUCGAGGUUCCGAGCACUUGCUCCUUUUUAUUUCCUCGUAUUUCUUUUUUUUAGAGCACUCAUCUCAUGAGAUAUUAUAGCAAGUGGUAGUAACAAGAUAACUUGAGCAUUUAUUUCACAAGGGAAAAACAAAAAUAUUUUUGGUUAUUCUCUCCUGGAUUAGGAGUAGAAUAUUUUUAGGUGGUUCUGGAGAUGGAAAUGGAUGGAUAUAUGUGGAUGGUACUUCCGGAGUAGAAGUAGCAUAUAUGAGUGAACGUGCAAGUGAAACCUUGAUUUAACCACAUGACAAGUUCCUAAGGGUCUACACAGCUUGACCACACUCAAUGCUCAUAAGCAGUAAAUAGUAAAUGUGUGGCUCAAAGUCUAGCAAGCAUGUAUAUAUGGCUGUGGUAGGAAUUUAAACUCUCAUCAUACAGGAACUCAUCAUGCAACAUUUUAAAGAUUUUCAAAGAUAAAAUUCUCCAGAAUUCUAGCAUCUCUAGGAACAAAUAAACAGCAGCUCAACCUUCCCAUAUCGUAUCCGUUAACAACUUAGACUUCAGAUCAAGUUUUCAUCCCACAAGUUUAGGUCUAGAGCAAGCUUUAAAUUAUAACAGUUAUAUCUACUUGAGAGAGAACUUAAAAUGUGCAAAUUAGGCAGAGCAACUAUUCAUCAUAUCCUUGCUUGAGUUUUAUUAUUAAGAUACAGAUUAGCAUAGCCACUUUAUUUAUUUUAUUAAACACACUAAGCAAAAGACAUAUAUAUAAGCAUAAAAAUCUUUACUUGGUUUUUUUCAUAGUUAUGUAUAUUUAUAUUCUAAAAUAAUAUGAGUGUAAAGAUAGAUAGAUAGAUAGAAAUACUUAUCGAGAUAAAUGGGGGUGCUCUCCCCCAAGCUGAAUUUUGACGUAAUUUCUCUUGAUGUAGCUAGCAGGUGGCAGAGGUGUAUUUGAAAGUCAGCAGCAUUCUGACAGCGAUUAGAAUGUCCUCCGUCUGCUAGUCUUCUUGAUUCUUAAAUUCUGUGGAGCUCAAAUAGACAACAAAGCUUGUGGAACUGAUUAAGUGUUAGCAUAAAUAUCUAGCCUUUAUCAUCUUGAGACUCCUUAAUAAUUAUUACUCCCUGUUUUUUAUAUUUUUAUUUUAUAAAGCAGAAAAAUAUUUAUUUUAUUUUUAUGCCACCACAGUGAAUGUACUUAUGGGUUUUAUGCCACUUGUAUACUCACAUGGGGCUUACUUUUUUUUUUCAUAUUUUUAUUUUCUUUUUAAGAUAGUACGAACAUGAUUAACUAAGUAAACUAUUUGAAAUAAUUAAAAGGGAAAGGAUAACUACCAAGUUUACCUCUUGGCAAGGCGUUCGGUGUUUUUAAGUCCUCCGAACGGGACUCUCCAUUUUCUUAAUCGUCCUGAGGUUCGUUGGGUGGCGUAGUCGGUACUUCCGGGAGCGCCUCCUCUUCAUGUAUAGUUAUCUUCAUUUUCCACACCUGACUUGGUGCUUCAAUCUCCUCUGGAUAAUUCUGUUUAAACUCAACGUCUUCUGAUCUUACAACUUCUCCUUCAUAGUCUGCCCAUCUGUCCUUGAUGAUCUGCCUCCUCUGGUUGCGGUUGCGUCUCUUUCUGAGCUACUUAGAUUCUUCAACGAUAUAGUUAGGGUCAGUAAAAUAAUGACAUACCUUCUCUGAGGGGAAGUGCAUAUGGACUUCUCCGGUUCCAAUGUAGAUAAUUGCUUUAACGGUGCUGAGGAACGGUCUUCCAAGGAUGAUGGGUGGAUCGUACUCAUCUUCUCCCAUGUCAAUAACUUGAAAGUCUGUGUAGACAAAGUGAUCGUCUAUUUUGACUGGGACAUCAGUUACUAUUCCAUUAACUUCUCGAAAUGUCUGAUCUGCCAUCUGGAGCUGAAUGUAUGUUGGUCUUAGUGGCAUGGUCCCGAACAAGAGCCGAUAGGUGACUGCGGCCAUUAUGUUGACACCCGAUCCGGUGUCACAAAAUGUCUUGUAGAAGUUGUAUCCAAUUAUGGAGCAGUAAAUGCUUGGCAUUCCUGGGUCGUCCUUCUUGGUCAAAAGCGGUGACUUAAGUUGGUGAUCUUGGCCUCCAUGAACUACAGUGACCAUCUUAGCUGACUUGGUCCACACUUGCUUGUUCCUGUUCUUCUUGUUGGUCCUCUUCCUUGAUUCACGUUUGGAUUGAUCUGGAAUUUGUGUAGUCUUGUUCUUGAAGAAAAAUAUCUCCUUCCUCCCUUUGACGUAGAAACUGAUCUUGGCAGCUCUAGCGUAGAUGAUAGCUCCCGUGGUAUUCAAGAAUGGCCUCCCUAAGAUGAUAGGUGCUCUCUCAUCAUUUCCGGUCUCUACCACUACGAAGUCUGCUGGGGCAUAUAAGGUACCAACUCGGACACAAAGGUUCUUCAAUAUUCCCUUUGGAAAAGUUAUCGUCUGAUCUGCAAAUUGCAAACACAUGGUUGUUUCUAAUAAAGGAUAUGUAAAGAAUUUUUCAUAGAGUACCCUGGGUAUAAUGUUGACACUGGAGCCAAAGUCGCAGAGUGCUUCUGGAACGUCCACCAUGCCGAUGGAGAUCGGGAUGACGGGGCGUCCUGGAUCGCCUCUCUUGACCGGCAGAAGGUCAGUAGAGAAUUCAUUGACGGGGUUACUCCAAUUACCUGCAUCAAACGUGUCUACAAGAUUUGCAGAUUCUAAUCCUUCCGGUUGUGAUGGUAUACCGGGGUUAGUAGUAGGAACAGUAGCAGCUAUUUGAUUUAACUGAGAUUCAAUCAUUUUAUUAAAGCUAAUUUGAUUCUUGAUGGCAGUAGAGAAAUUAUCCAUUCUAUUAUUUAUAUUUUCUAGCAUUUUAUCAUUAGAUGCCAAUUUCUUAGAUAGGUUAUCCAUUAGCUUUCCUUGAUUAGACACUAACUCUCUCAAAGGUGGAAAAUUAUUAUUAUUGUUGUAAGAAUUGUUACCUUCAUAGUUACCUGAGUAGUUAGGCCUCUGUUGAUUCCAACCUUGAUUUUGUUGAGGACGGUUGUAGUAGUAGUAGUAGUUGUUGUUGAUGUAGUUCACAUCCUCAAGUAUCUUAGGGCAGUGGUUGCCUGAGUGUCCAGUGUCUCCACACUCCUCACAAGUCAUGUGAGAGUCGUAGAUGUGCAUAACUUCUUUCUUAUCUCCAGCUCUAUCGUCGAGCUUCUUCAUGAGCAGGUCUAGCUUUGCAGACAGCAUGUCUACCUCCUUCAGCUGAUGCAUACCUCCACCUCUCUUGCGUGUCUGGGUCCUCUCUUCAUUCCAGCUUUGAUUGGACGCCAUCUUCUCCACAAGAGCUGUGGCUUGUGGUAUAGUAAGUGAUAAGAAUGCUCCUCCAGCUGCAGCAUCCAUGGUCUCUCGGGCACUGUUGCCGAGCCCAUGAUAAAACGUCUGCAUCAAUAGCCAACUCUCCAUUCCAUGAUGGGGACAUUCUAGGAUGUAGUCUUGAAAGCGCUCCCAUGCUUCUGGAACAGAUUCAUCAUUUUGUUGCUGAAAACUCGUAAUCUUCCCACGGAGAGCAUUGGUCUUGCCCAUGGGAAAGAACUUAGCCAGGAAGUUUGUUGAGUAGAGUGCCCACGUAGUAUUCUUCUCCUUUGUAGCGUAGAACCACUGCUUCGCUCUUCCUAACAGUGAGAAUGGGAAGAGGCGAAGUAGUAUAGCAUCUUUGGAAACUCCUGAUAUGUUGAAUGUGUUGCAAAUCUCCAGGAAGUGUUGUAAAUGAGCACUAGCAUCUUCGUGUGCCUUCCCACAGAACUGGUUGGAUUGCACCAUGUUGAUAAGUCCAGGCUUGAGCUCAAAGUUGCCAUCGAUCUCUGCAGCAGGUCCAGUGCGGAUGUUGUCCGUAGUGGGAGCUGAGAACUCGCGGAUUGAUUUGUUCACCAUGGCUUCGAACUCUGAAGACAAGUUCCGGUGAUCUUCUUGAUUGGAUGAAGCUUCUUGCUGAAGUGUUGAUGAUUUCUUUAGCUUGGCUCUCAUCUUCUUGAAUAAUGCUUCGGGAUUGUCAACAAAAUUUCCUGGAAGAUGUCUUCUAUUCAUACAUUCCCCUGCAUAAGAUGAAAUAGGAAAAUAUCGGGGUAAAACUGUAUGAGAGAAUAGAUAAGCUCAAUCAUAUUAGUGAUGCGAAUGAUAACUCAAAAUCCUUUAUUCCAUUCCUGAUUAGUAAUCAACCUUCCCCGGCAACGGCGCCAAAAAUGCUUGUUGGGUAUUCUUAACAUCAUUACCAAAAGUAGACUAAGUUCUCUAAAUCUAGUAACGGUGCCAAAAAUGCCAAACCUAUCCCUCACACCACUUAAGCCAAGUUGUCAUCCCCAGCAUGAUAUAAGAGACGCGGUAUUGAAAUAUGCAAUUGCUCUUCUAAAUAAAUAAUGAAUGGGAUCUGGAAGCGCACAGAUUAAUACCGAUGCAGCAUUUUAACCGGGAAGUAUUCCAGGUAUCGUUAUUUAUAUUUUUACCACUGGGAAGGGAUUAGCAAUCAUCACUAUUGAUUACAGAAUAGAAUAUGAGAUUGAGCAUCUAUCAUUGCAUGUAUAAUUGAGAACAUUAUAUCUAACUUCUCAUACAGGGAUAACUGUCACAUAAAAGAUAUAUGAAAUAAUAAUAGUGACAAGGAUAACUAAUUUGAUCUAGCCACAUAAUAAAUAUGAUAAGCACCUCAAUUAGAUACUCUAGAAAGUCAUUAGCAUGGUAUUAGAACGAACUACAAGAAUAUUCCCUAAGUUAUUCUCAACUGUAUAGUCUAGCAUAUCAUAGUUAGUGCAAGCAUACUUAGCAAUCAUUGCGAGAUAAGACUACGCACAUGCAUAGUGAUAUUAGCAAGGAAUAUGAGAAACAUAGCAAUCACUCCCCUGUAAUAAUGUUGCUCUGCCAGCCCAAUACACGAGAGGGGGACUAUAUAAGAAUCAAUGAAGCUGUCACUAUCACGAACCACCCCACGAUCUGGCAUAUUGGGUACAAUCGCAGAUAAAUACGGUAUAAGCACCACGCCUGCACAAUAUCUAUCAUUUACCCAUGGAUCCGAUGGAUAAACGCUAUACGAUCCUAAGCAUGUAUAUAGAUCCAAUUUAACUAAGCCAAGUACAUAACUAUGAUAAACUAACAACAAUAUAAUCUUGAAUAUAAGCAAGUAGAGCAAAGUCAUAAGCAAUAUAUUGAAGUAGAACAAAGUCAUAUUCAUAAUAUUGAAGAACAAAGAUAAUUAGAAAGCAAUUAGAAGCACAAUUAGAGAAUUACCAAGAAUCCUCUUGAUAGAUCCGGAAACCAAUCGAAGAUUGACUCCUAGUUCUAAUCCUAUGUAGCUAUGCUAAUCUAGAUAUCUAAUUGAUGUGGUGGCUCUAAUCUUGAUCAGAGGCUUCUUCUCCCUUGAGGAAUAAUGAAUUAGGGUUGAGAGGCUCUCUCCUCCAGGGGCCAGGGGGUCUGGUUUUAUAGUCCCUUCAAGUGAAUAUGGGCCAUUGGAUCAAACCGACAUAGAUUGUAUGGUUUAGAUUCAUCCUUUAGGUCGGUGGAGAUCUCCCGCGAAGCAGAGUCCUGAUUGGACUCAGAGGCAGGGCGGGCGCCCUGACCAACUGGGCGGGCGCCCAGGGUCAGGCCCCGUUUCGCCUCCGCUUCGGUCUCGUGGCUUCUGGAGUCUUCUAGAUGUAAGAUAAUUGCGCGGCACGUUAAUAUCUCUAUGUAAUCCCGACAUGUGGGCCUUUCUUCCGUAUUUCCUGAUAACCCUCUGCAGAAAUAGACAAACACCAAAACUCGUGGAAUUCUGUUAGAUAAAACCCUAAGUCUAGAUGUUGAUUUCAUUUGGAUCCUUUUCUUUAUUUAUUUAAUAAUUAAAUUUGAUACUUAAGGACCGUCAACAACCGUCGCCUCAGAUAGCAACAUCAGCAGCUCUGCUUCUGCUUCUAUAGGUGAGUAAUUAAAGGGUCUAGAUAGCGGACUAGAGGGGGUGAAUAGUCCUUUCUAAAACUUAUCAUGUCGGCUAACCGAAACAAAUGCGGAAUUAAAACUAUCGGUCUAGCCAAGACUACACCCCUCUAUCUAAGUUUUCUAGCACCUUGAAAAGAUCCUGAACAAGUAAACAAGGUGCUACCAUAGCAAGAGCUCACCUAACCAAUUCUAGGAGCAAGGUCACACAAACCAAUGCCUCUAUUACUUUGCAAACUGGGGAGCUCCUACACAACUAGUAAGCAAAAGCACAAAGCUCCUAAGCUCACUAGCAAUGCUCAAUAACAAGGCAACUAAUGCCAAAUUAGAGAGCGCAAAUUACUUAGCUACACAAACUAAGCAAUGUGACUAACAAGUUUACAUAAACCAAAUUAGUCACGCAAGGGGAACUAUUUCUAGCUACACAAGCAAGAAGGUAACUAGCAAGCUACACAAGGUAACUAAUUAUAAGAGCAACUACACAAGCACAAGUAUAUGAAUGUAAGAACAAGCUUGUGUUAGGGACUUGCAAACUAACGUGAAGAACAAUGUUGACACGAAGAUUUUCUCCCAAGGUUCACUUGGUUACCACCAAGCUACAUCCUCGUUGUGUCGACCAACACUUGGUGGUUCGGCAGCUAAGAGGUGUUACACGAACCUCGUCCCCACUAAGACACCGCAAGAACCUACCCACAAGUGAGGUAGCUCAAUGAAAUGCACGAUCCAGUAGAGUUGCUCUUCGCGAUCCCCACAGGAUGAGCACUGUACCCCUCACAAUCUCUUCUCUAGAGCACCGCACAAUCUCCUUGCGUGCUUCGAUGGAGUCAUAAGCCACCAAGCCAUCUAGGAGGUGGCAACCUCCAAGAAUAACAAGCACCACCGGCUUGCAACAUGAACACCGAGUGCCACUCAAUGCAACCUCACGAUGCAAUCGCACUAGAGUACCAUACUCACAUAAUCGGAUAAUCACUAUCAAGCAUAUGUGAGUUAGAGGCUUUACUAGCACUCCCUAAGCAUGGAAAUUAAGUCCCAAGGGUGCUCAGCUAAAGCCAAGGCCAAGUCAUGGGCACCGGACGCACUGCAGGGAGCCAUCGGACGCUCGAACCCAGCGUCCGGUGCUCAGAUGACAGCCACAUGUCACUAGCCAUUUGAACUCGACCGUUGCCGCCAAUGGCUAACACAUGCAUGUGCCUGCACCAGCCACACCGGACGCUCUGCUGGUCCACACCAGAUGUGUCCUGUGCACAUCGGACCUGUACGCAGAGAGCAAUGCAAACUCAUAGGGUCACUGGACUCAAACCACCGGAUGCUCCCUGAGCGUCUAGUUCUCUCAGUCAGAAGCACCUACUGAAGUCAAGCCACAUCGGAUGCAUGAACAGGGUCUAGCCCGCGUUCGGUGCUUAGCGUUAACAGUGCUUGAAACCGAGAGCGCACUAGACACAUCGUGUAGCGUCCGGUGCCUCUCAGGCCAUCGUCCGGUGACUCCCAUAACUUCUCCAAAAUUCCCACCGGCGCAAUAGAAAAUAUGCGUUUCAUUUUCUCAAAAGCGCCGAAUGUGCUAACACCAUCUGUUGUGAUCUUCUCUACACACCUAUGACCAGUGAAAUGGAAAUGCCCUAGGUUAUAUCUUUGCCUUGCGCUUUCCAUUCUAUCUCCUCCAAUGUUGAUGCAACUGUUGAUAUUUGGUAACGCAAUAAGGAAAUGAUCCGCAAGCGCACGGAUAUCGGUGAGCAUUUCACCCGGGAGGUUAUCCAGAGUUAUCGUAUUUAAAUUUUUACCACUGGGAGAAAGGGUGCAUCUGACUAACCAAAUCUAUUGCUACUAUCCCUUUAGGCUACAAAGAAUGUUUCUCGAUGUGAGUGAUGUAUAGAGAAGAAUGCAACCGUAGUCUCGUUCUAACCUUGAUAAGGAUGAUCUACUGUUCUAUUGGGGAAGCUUACGGAAUCUAGACACCACAAAGGAUGUUCGACCCGCACCUAUAAACCCUACCCGUCCUGCUAACAAGAUAUGGGAUACAAAGGUAACUCGGAAAUGUCACAUUCCUCGCUACUACCACGGUCCAGCUAGUCAGGGGAUAUCUAUGAGUACCCUAGCCUAAACAUCACGUUUACGCUAGCAAUGAUUACUCUAAUACUCAACUAGAAGAGGAUUAAAGUAAACUCAUAAACCAAAGAACAAUAAAACAAGAACUUACUAGAAUUAGAAGUCGAAUUACUGAAGAAUCUUAGAAGCAAGCCUCGGGUUAGAAAACUUGAUCCCGUAGGUACAUCUCGAAGUAGACACCGACAGGCCGGCCUUCCUCCGAUCUACACCUCCACUCUAUCUCUUUCAAUCUAGUAGAAACUAGAAGAUCUAUUUCUACUUACAUUGGUUGCUAAGCCUAAAAAGAAAUAUUAUUUAGAGAAGAGGUUUUCCUUCGAGGGCACCCCUCAAUCUCUAUGAUAACUUCUUGUCUUCUCCAGGGGCCAGGGGGUCUCCUUAUAUAGUCCCCCUCCUCUAUGCGUUUUUGGGUCGGUAGGCGAUGUGGUACUACAUUAUCCUUGAUCCUUUAGGUCGGUGGAACAUCGUGUGCGAAAAGAGUCCCGAACGGAGUCCAGGACAGGGCGGGCGCCCAGGGAAGGAGGGCGGGCGCCCUGGGCCUGGCCCCUUUUGGCCUCUGCUUUCUUCCCGUGGCUUCUGGAGUCUUCUAGAUGGUAGAAAAUUGCGCGGUGCGUUGAUAUCUCUAUGUAAUCCCGACAUGUGGGCAUUUCUUCCGUAUUUCCUGAUAACCCCCUGCAGAAAUAGACAAACACCAAAACUCAUGGAAUUCUGUCAGAUAAAACCCAAAGUCUAGGUGUUGGUUGCAUUUGGAUCCUUUUCUUUAUUUAUUUGAUAAUUAAAUUUGAUACUUAAGGACCAUCAACAGCAACACAUGUAGCAACGAAUCACCAAAUUAUAUGAUCUAGUUCAUAUCAUCACAUGACUGUAUUGGUUCAUCGAUCUUGACCUCACUUGCUCUUCACCGUUGCCUUGGUCCAUCAGCGCCAGGUCUUGCUCAAGCUUCACCGUCACACGCGGUCCCUCACUUCAAAGCCUCCGACUUGCCCUUCACUCUUGCAACCGGUCCAUCGAGCCAAGCCUCAUCUUGAUCUUCUCCACCUUGGUCACAUGACUCCAUGUCAUGUCUCAUAUGCAAUGAGCUCCUUCAUCAUUACGUAAUCACCUAUGGACUAAUCUCCAAUGUAUCUCACAUAAAUACUAUUAGUCCACUUAAGUUGUCACUCAAUUACCAAAACCAAACAAGGACCUUUCAAUCUCCCCCUUUUUGUUAAUUGAUGACAACUCUACAAAGAUAUGGAAAUUAAGCUUUUUCAAGCUAGCACUUCACACAAGUGUAAAUUGCUAACUUGAUUUGGAUUUUAUGCUACUUAUCCAACAUUCGAGCUCUAUAUCAAGAUUUGGAUAAGCACCAUAAAACCCUACAAAGUGCUAAGGUGUAUAGAAUAAACCUUUGUAGCUUGAAACCAAAUUCGAUAUCAUUUGAAGUAUUCAAUGUACACCAUCCUUAGCACCAUUAGUAGCUAGAAAACAAAAACACUAGAAACCCCAUCAGAUCAACAUUAUAAGCAAGGGUCUAGUUUUUACUUUUGAAGACAAGUCUAGUUACCAACCUAUGCAUGCUAGUUAUCAUAUCAUUCAUGAAGUUCUAUAACUAGCAUACACCACACAAACAUGCAUAUAGAAUUUAAAAAUUUAUGUAAUGCAAGCAAGCACAUGAAUAUACACAUAUCAAAUGCAAAAAAAUAAGGUUCAUGAGCCUGCUUCCCCUACUUGUGUGCUUCUCUUGUCCAAGAAUUUUGAUCCAUCUCUUUUCCUUAAUGUUGUUCCCUCUUUGUCCAUGUCCAUGUUCAAACCAACUUCCCAUAUUUUAUAUCUUUGCACAAAUUUCUCCCCCUUUGUCAUCAAUUUCUAUAAAAAGUAUGUGAUACCAAUUAAAUCACUUGACACCAAUUGAAAAAGUGUGCAUCUCAUUAUGACAAAUGAUUGCAUAUGAGGUAGAUGGUUGAGGCUUGAAUCUUGCAUGUUUUAUGGACAUAACCAUAUGUGUUGGAAUGACAUCAUUUGUAUUGCUCUUGAGAUACCACAUAGGAUCUUUGACCUUGAUACCAUUUGGUGGGGAACCUCCCCCUAUAUCAUAGCAUGGGUCAUUCACUUGACAAUCUUAUUGGUGAGGGAACUUCUCUUCUCUUGAUGAUCACUUAAAGUUGAGGAUCACUUGUGGAACCACCUUCUUGUAUGAUAGAUACCACAUGUAGAGAUGUGAUAUUAUUUGGAAGAUCUUGUCCAAUACCAAAUGAAAAUCUUCUAUCAAUUAAUGGACUUCUAGUAUGGAACCACUUGUUUGCUAUCUUGAACAUUUGCUAUUAUCAUCAUGAGUACCAUUUGUUGGAUAUCACUUGAAGAAACAUUUAAGUCUAGAUAUUCAUUUGCAUUUUUGUCUUGUUCUUGUACUCUAAUCAUCAUGAGCUUCUAAUUGUAGACUUAAACUAUGUUGAUUUGCCUAACCUUCCAAGUCUGGUUUUGUUGACACCGUUUUUUGGGCACAAGUCGGGGUAGUCAGUGAAACUUGAUCUGCAGUCCAAGAGAUGUUGUGUCUAGUUGGUGAGAAGAUUGCCGAUAGCUAAUGAUGCCGAUGACUAGAUGAUGGGUGGAAGAUGUUGCUAAGCUAGGCGGUAGCCAUUGAUCAUUACUGAUUGGUUGCCGAUGUUGAUGAUUGCUGAUGCCGAUGAGGAAAGGUAUGGGAGUUGGUAAGGAUACAGGGAAUAAGCCGAUAAUGAUGAAAGGAUAUAGGGAGUAUGCCGAUGAUGAUGAAGGGAGAUGUGGGAGUUGCUAGGAAGGCCACAGUGAUACGCUGAUUACCAGAAUAGAUAGGUGUUUCUUUUCCAUAUUUGUUAGAGUUUGCCUUAUGUAAGAGUCCUGUUUAGUUUAGAAUUAAAUCCUAGUUGUAUAUGGUUGUAACUCUUUAGGACAGAGUAUAAAUAUAAGCCUAGUAGCGAUGUAAGGAGGACAAUCAAUUAAUAUCAUACACAAGUUUUUACAUCUACUAUUACAUCUACUUUUUUGACGACUUCGUCAAUCUGCACAUUUUCUUUUCUUUAUGAGUUCUUAAGGAUUCAUCAAGCAACACUCAGCGAAUUCUUGAGUUCCGCGUGAGUACCUCUUGGCCGUAGCAUCCGGGCGCAUCGCUGUUGUCGGGACCAAAGUAUUCAAGUUAUCACCUUUGUUGAUUGCUAGGUCAAAUCGGCUGGCACACCUCAACGUUUGAAUUGGGUAUUAGCCCUUUAUGUUUGCAGAUCUAUUUUUGCAUCAACACAUCUUUUGGCAUGCCUAGUGGGACCAAUCUAUCAAUAAAAUCAACAUGGCUACUGUUGAUCUCGACACGGAGAAUGUCAUUGCUGUGACAGAAGCCGAUCUCAGGAACGAGGAGAAGCAGGCUAUGAAGAGGGCUAUGGAGGAAUACAAGCAGCUUUGCUUGAAGUCCUUCAGCAUCAACAGGAGUGGGGAAGUUAUCCAGAAGCAAGAGCUGCCGAUGCCUCGGCAGGUUAAUUUUGAUCCCAAUCAUGGUAAAUGGCAAGACAUGGUUGAUAAUGCUAUUAAUCGUGCCUUGAUUAAUCACUCCAAUGUGUUGUCGAGUACUAUUUAUAAUGCUGUGGCUAGAACUUUUAAAGAAGGACAGACACCACCACUAUAUGCUGGCCCGACCUAUCAUCAGCCAGGUUUGUCAUCGGUUACAGCUCCAUCGGCUCUUCCAGCCGUUGCAGGUACACAAGCUACUUUUCCUCCAAGCACAAUAGGGUUGACUAAUGAGCAAUCUACACUAAUGAGACCUAAUCCAAUGACAUUAGGGGGACAGGUUCAGCUCAACACAAAUUUAUCGGCAUCGGCAAUGUCAGGGUCUGUGUUUCAGAAUUAUCAAGUUCCUCCCAAUUGGUGGGGAUAUGGUAUGACUCCAGAGUUUUUUGCAAAUAGUUCUGGAACAUCUCAGGUAACUGACUUAGCAGGGAAGGCUCCUAUGACAUCGGCACCCCUAGUUUUGCCGAUGACUCAAAUUCCUCAGUAUUCAACAACUACUACUGCAAGACCUAUUACAGGGAAUUUUCAAAUGCCGACAUUCCAGAUGCCUAAUGCAAAUUCGUCGGCAAAUCCGUUGCCAACUCAACCGAGGUUUGUGACUCAAACAUGUUAUGCCAAUCCAGCAAUGACAUCUAAUUAUCAACCAUCGGCAGGACAUAUGCCGAUGAACGCCAAUAAUGGUUGGACAGAGCAGUUGUUCUUUCCGCAUGUGACAUAGCAGAAUCAUCAGGCUACGGGAUUCCAGCAAAGACAGAUGCAAGUCAGUUUUCAGAAUCAAGGACCAGUAAAUCAGCCGAUGAAUCUCGCUCAACAGGUUGGUGGUCAACAAGCUAUGGCCAAUGUAAUGUUUCUUGGAGACUGUGUACCCCAGAGACACGUGGAAGGUUAUUAGCAGGUGCCAGAAAUUCAACCCUCACAUCGGCAAGAUGCCGAUGCCUAUUGGGCCGAUAAGAUAGCAGAGGUCAUGAGAGACUAGUUUGGAAUAAAACCUAAGGUUAAUACUUAUUCUUAUCAGACACCGUAUCCUCCUGCUUAUGAUUUAAUUCCGCUCCCAAAUCGUACAAGGUACCAGAUUUCACUAAGUUCUCUGGACAAGAUGACACAUCAACCAUGGAACAUGUCAAUCGGUUCAUCAUCUAGUGUGGAGAAGCUGCUCACAGAGAUGAGUUAAGAGUUCGUUUAUUUUCAUCAUCUUUGUUAGGGUCGGCAUUUACCUGGUUUAUUUCAUUGCCUCCAAAUUCAGUCAUUACGUGGGCCAAUCUAGAGAAGCAGUUUCACAAGUAUUUCUUUUCUGGGGUUCACGAAAAGAAGAUUACCAAUUUAGUAAGAUCGAGGCAAUGCAAUGAUGAAUCGGUUGAAAGUUUUGUGCAGAGGCUGCGGGAUGUAAAGAACAAAUGUUACAGUCUAGUUCUGGAGGAUCGGCAGUUAGCUGAUUUGGCUUUCCAGGGGUUAUUGCCACACAUCAAAGAUAAAUAUGCUUCUUAAGAGUUUGAAAGUCUGAUUCAUUUGGUGCAGAGGAUUUCUGAUCAAGAUAUCAAGGCUUUUGAACCUAGGAAAACCUAGAAUAAGAAGGUAUCAUUUGUUGAUGAAGCAAUGAGUUCUGAUUCUGAUGAAGAGCCAGUCAUCGGCUUGGCAGAGUGGGUGAAAAACAAAAAGCCAAUGUCUUGUCCUUUUGGUCAAAAAGAACCAGAAAAAUUUGCUUUUGAUGUCAGGCCGAUAGGAUAUUUGAUUUCUUGCUUCAGGAGGGGCAGAUUAAAUUGUCACCUAAUCAUGUGAUCCCAUCGGCAAAAGAGCUAAAAAGGAUCAAGUACAAAUGGCAUAAUGCAACAUCACACAACAUAAAUGAAUGCAAAGUGUUUAGGCAGCAAUUAGAAUCGGCUAUAGAAUCUGGGAGGAUCAAGUUUGAUAAUUCCAAAGCUCAAAAGCCGAUGAAAAUUGAUCACGACCCUUUCCCUAUAAAUAUGUUGGAUGCCAAAGGUAAGACUAAGGUCUUGACAUCAGAAACAGCUAAAAAGAAUGCAUCGGUGGAUCCCCAGUAUCAAGUAACUACCGAUGACGCCAAGGGCAAAGGUUUGAUAAAGGAGGGUGUUAGGUAUUCUUAACAUCAUUACCAAAAGUAGACUAAGUUCUCUAAUAUCUAGUAACGGUGCCAAAAAUGCCAAACCUAUCCCUUACACCACUUAAGCCAAGUUGUCAUCCCUAGCAUGAUAUAAGAGACGCGGUAUUGAAAUAUGCAAUUGCUCUUCUAAAUAAAUAAUGAAUGGGAUCUGCAAGCGCACAGAUUAAUACCGAUGUAGCAUUUUAACCGGGAAGUAUUACAGGUAUCGUUAUUUAUAUUUUUACCACUGGGAAGGGAUUAACAAUCAUCAAUAUUGAUUACAGAAUAGAAUAUGAGAUUGAGUAUCUAUCAUCGCAUGUAUAAUUGAGAACAUUUAUCUAACUCUUCAUACAGGGAUAAAUGUCACAUAAAAGAUAUAUGAAAAAAUGAAUAGUGACAAAGAUAAUUAAUCUGAUCUAGCCACAUAAUAAAUAUGAUAAGCACCUCAAUUAGAUACUCUAGAAAGUCAUUAGCAUGGUAUUAGAACGAACUACAAGAAUAUUCCCUAAGUUAUUCUCAACUAUAUAGUCUAGCAUAUCAUAGUUAGUGCAAGCAUACUUAGCAAUCAUUGCGAGACAAGACUACGCCCAUGCAUAGUGAUAUUAGCAAGCUAAAUGAGAAACAUAGCAAUCACUCCCCUGUAAUAAUAUUGCUUUGCCAGCCCAAUACACGAGAGGGGGACUAUAUAAGAAUCAAUGAAGCUGUCACUAUCAAGAACUACCCCACGAUCUGGCAUAUUGGGUACAAUCGCAGAUAAAUAUGGUAUAAGCACCACGCCUACACAAUAUCUAUCAUUUACCCAUGGAUCCGAUGGAUAAACGCUAUACGAUCCUAAGCAUGUAUAUAGAUCCAAUCUAACUAAGCCAAGUACAUAACUAUGAUAAACUAAGAACAAUAUAAUCUUGAAUAUAAGCAAGUAGAGCAAAGUCAUAAGCAAUAUAUUGAAGUAGAGCAAAGUCAUAUUCAUAAUAUUGAAGAACAAAGAUAAUUAGAAAGCAAUUAGAAGAACAAUUAGAGAAUUACCAAGAAUCCUCUUGACAGAUCCGGAAACCAAUCGAAGAUUGACUCCUUCUAGUUCUAAUCCUAUGUAGCUAUGCUAAUCUAGAUAUCCAAUUGAUGUGGUGGCUCUAAUCUUGAUCAGAGGCUUCUUCUCCCUUGAAGAACAAUGAAUUAGGGUUGAGAGGCUCUCUCCUCCAGGGGCCAGGGGGUCUGGUUUUAUAGUCCCUUCAAGUGAAUAUGGGCGUUGGAUCAAACCGACUUAGAUUGUAUGGUUUAGAUUCAUCCUUUAGGUCAUUUAUUUGAUAAUUAAAUUUGAUACUUAAGGACCGUCGACAAACUCCCCCAAGCUUACCUCUUGCUCGUCCCUAAGCAAGGAUAGACUCAGCUAUGGAUCAUAAGUUGUUGCAAUAUCUUUAAAAAUUGACGGUACACAUGCUUUUUAAAUAAGAUCUCAUAUCUGAGUUAGAGUAAACUGUCAAGACUUAAAACCUACUUACUUUACCUUCACCAUGGGACUUGUAACCGUCACUUCUAUCUUGAGUAGUUAAAAGAUAGAACAGUCUAGUCAAGUGCCAUGUCUCUUAUUCUUGAUCAGCUAUAGCUCUGGUGUUUUGCAGAUUUUUAAAUAAAACUCAGAGAUUCCUUGUAUGACUCUCUUAAAUCUCUCUUUUGUGGUAUUUCUGGAUCCUUACCUAGGCAGUGAUGGUAUAUGCCUUCAAUCAAGAUAUGUAGUAUUUGUGGUAUAAGGCAUAGUGACAUUGCCUUCUCUCUCACCCUACUCUAAUAAGGCUUUUAUAUCUGGAGCUCAUUGGUGGGAGAUAAAAUAUACAUACUUACAAGACAUGUAUUGCAUAGUCAAACCAUGGAUCCAAAGAAACAAAUCAAUAAGUCAAAUCAAGAUGUGCAUGUGUGGCGAAUGAAUGUUGUAUGGUGAUGAUGGUGAUAACAAUGGUGAAAGUCUAAUUCUACUUUUGCUCUUUGAGGGGAUACAUACCUUUCUUGCUUUUUGAAAUUUUAUGAGGAGAAUGAGAUGCUCUUUAUUUUUUUUCUUUUCUCUCAGGUUGGUAUCUUGUACCCCUAAUUCUACUGUCGGACACUUGUCCAUUUUUACCUCUCGUCUCACUUUUUCUUUUCUUUCGAGGUUCCGGGCACUUGCCCCUUUUUAUUUCCUCGUAUCUCUUUUUUUAGAGCACUCAUCUCUUGAGAUAAGAUAGCAAGUGGUAGUAACAAGAUAACUUGAGCAUUUAUUUCACAAGGGAAAACCGAAAAUUUUUUGGCUAUUCUCUCCCGAAUUAGGAGUAGAAUGUUUUUGGGUGAUUCUGGAGAUGGAAAUGGAUGGAUAUAUGUGGAUGGUACUUCCGGAGUAGAAGUAGCAUAUAUGAGUGAACGUGCAAGUGAAAUCUUGAUUUAACCACAUGACAAGCUCCGAAGGGUCUACACAGCUUGACCACACUCAAUGCUCAUAAGCAGUAAAUAGUAAAUGUGUGGCUCAAAGUCUAACAAGCAUGCAUAUAUGGCUGUGGUAGGAAUUUAAAACUCUCAUCAUACAGGAACUCAUCAUGCAACAUUUUAAAGAUUUUUAAAUAUAAAAUUCUCCAGAAUUCUAGCAUCUCUAGGAACAGAUAAACAACAACUCAACCUUCCCAUAUCGUAUCCGUUAAUAACUUAGACUUCAGAUCAAGUUUUCAUCCCACAAGUUUAGGUCUAGAGUAAGCUUUAAAUUAUAACAGUUAUAUCUAAACUUGAGAGAGAACUUAAAAUGUGCAAAUUAGGCAGAGCAACUAUUCAUCAUAUCCAUGCUUGAGUUUUAUUUAGAUACAGAUUAGCAUAGCCACUUUAUUUAUUUAUUAAACACACUAAGCAAAAGAUAUAUAUAUAAGCACGAAAUCUUUAUUUGGUUUUUCAUAGUUAUGUAUAUUUAUAUUCUAAAAUAAUAUAAGUAUAAAGAUAGAUAGAUAGAUAGAAAUACUUAUCGGGAUAAAUGGGGGUCCUCUCCCCCAAGCUGAAUUUUAACGUAAUUUCUCUUGAUGUAGCUAGGAGGUGGCAAAGGUGUAUUUGAAAGUCAGCAGCAUUCUGACAGCGAUUAGAAUGUCCUCCGUCUGCUCGUCUUCUUGAUUCUUAAAUUCUGUGGAGCUCAAAUAGACAACAAAGCUUGUGGAACUGGUUAAGUGUUAGCAUAAAUAUCUAGCCUUUAUCAUGUUGAGACUCCUUAAUAAAUAUUACUCCCUGUUUUAUAUUUUCGUUUUAUAAAGCAGAAAAGAAUUUUUUAUUUUAUUUUUAUGCCACCACAGUGAAUGUACUUAUGGAUUUUAUGCCACUCGUAUACUCACAUGGGGCUUACUGUUUUUCAUAUUUUUAUUUUAUUUUAUUUUUAAGAUAGUAUGAACAUAAUUAACUAAGUAAACUAGUUGACAUAAUUGAAAGGGAAAGGAUAACUACCAAGUUUACCUCUUGGCAAGGCGUUCGGUGUUUUUAAGUCCACCGAACGGGACUCUCCAUUUUCUCAAUUGUGUGGGAUUCGUUGGGUGGCGGAGUCGGUAUUUCCGGCAGCGCCUCCUCUUCAUGUAUAGUUAUCUUCUCUUUAGUAUCUGACUCGGUGCUUCAGUCUCCUCUGGAUAAUUCUGUUUAAACUCUACGUCUUCUAACCUUAUCACUUCUCCUUCGUAGUCUGCCCAUCUGUCCCUGAUGAUCUGCCUCCUCUGGUUGCGGUUGCGUCGUUUUCUUACCUGCUUAGAUUCUUCAACGAUAUAGUUAGGGUCAGUAAAAUAACGGCGUACCUUCUCUGAGGGGAAGUGCAUAUGGACUUCUCCGGUUCCAAUGUAGAUAAUUGCUUUAACAGUGCUGAGGAACGGUCUUCCAAGGAUGAUGGGUGGAUCGUACUCGUCUUCUCCCAUGUCAAUAACCUGAAAGUCUGUGUAGACAAAAUGAUCGUCUAUUUUGACUGGGACAUCAGAUACUGUUCCUUUAACUUCUCGAAAUGUCUGAUCUUCCAUCUGAAGCUGAAUGUACGUUGGUCUUAGUGGCAUGGUUCCGAACAAGAGCCGAUAGGUGACUACGGCCAUUAUGUUGACGCCCGAUCCGGUGUCACAAAAUGUCUUAUAGAAGCUGUAUCCAUUUAUGGAGCAGUAGAUGCUUGGCAUUCCUGGGUCGUCCUUCUUGGUCAAAAACGGUGACUUAAGUUGGUGAUCUUGGCCUCCAUGAACUACAGUGACCAUCUUAGCUGACUCGGUCCACACUUGCUUGUUCCUGUUCCUCCUGUUGGUCCUCUUCCUUGAUUCACGUCUAGAUUGAUCUGGGAUUUGUGUAGUCUUGUUCUUGAAGAAAAAUGUAUCCUUCCUCCCUUUGAUGUAGAAAGUGAUCUUGGCAGCAUUGGCGUAGAUGACAGCUCCCGAGGUGUUUAAGAAUGGCCUCCCUAAGAUGAUGGGUGCUCUCUCAUCAUUACCGGUCUCUACCACUACGAAGUCUGCUGGGGCAUAUAAGGUACCAACUCGGACACAGAGGUUCUUCAAUAUUCCUUUUGGAAAACUUAUCGUCUGAUCUGCAAACUGCAAACACAUGGUUGUUUCUAAUAAAGGAUAUGUAAAGAAUUUUUCAUAGAGUACCCUGGGUAUAAUGUUGACACUAGAGCCAAAGUCACAGAGUGCUUCUGGGAUGUCCACCAUGCCGAUGGAGAUCGGGAUGACGGGGCGUCCUGGAUCGCCUCUCUUGACCGGCAAAAGGUCAGUAGAGAAUUCAGUGACGGGGUUACUCCAAUUACCUGCAUCAAACAUGUCUACAAGAUUUGCAUAUUCUAAUCCUUCCGGUUGUGACGGUAUACCGGGGUUAGUAGUAGGAACAGCAGUAGCUAUUUGAUUUAACUGAGAUUCAAUCAUUUUAUUAAAGAUAAUUUGAUUCUUGAUGGCAGUAGAGAAAUUAUCCAUUCUAUUAUUUAUAUUUUCUAGCAUUUUAUCAUUAGAUGCCAAUUUCUU
rnacentral:lncRNA from 1 species